rnacentral:rRNA from 1 species
ACGAUGACGGUGGUGCUUGCACCGCCUGAUUAGUGGCGAACGGGUGAGUAACACGUGAGUAACCUGCCCUCCACUUCGGGAUAACCUCGGGAAAUCGUGGCUAAUACCGGAUAUGAGCACUCAUCGCAUGGUGGGUGYUGGAAAGAUUWAUCGGUGGGGGAUGGACUCGCGGCCUAUCAGUUUGUUGGUGAGGUGAUGGCUCACCAAGACGAUGACGGGUAGCCGGCCUGAGAGGGCGACCGGCCACACUGGGACUGAGACACGGCCCAGACUCCUACGGGAGGCAGCAGUGGGGAAUAUUGCACAAUGGGCGAAAGCCUGAUGCAGCGACGCCGCGUGGGGGAUGACGGCCUUCGGGUUGUAAACCCCUUUCAGUAGGGAAGAAGCGAGAGUGACGGUACCUGCAGAAGAAGCGCCGGCUAACUACGUGCCAGCAGCCGCGGUAAUACRUAGGGCGCAAGCGUUGUCCGGAAUUAUUGGGCGUAAAGAGCUUGUAGGUGGCUUGUCGCGUCUGCCGUGAAAACCCGAGGCUCAACCUCGGGCGUGCGGUGGGUACGGGCAGGCUAGAGUGUGGUAGGGGAGACUGGAACUCCUGGUGUAGCGGUGAAAUGCGCAGAUAUCAGGAAGAACACCGAUGGCGAAGGCAGGUCUCUGGGCCAUUACUGACACUGAGAAGCGAAAGCAUGGGUAGCGAACAGGAUUAGAUACCCUGGUAGUCCAUGCCGUAAACGUUGGGCACU